rnacentral:lncRNA from 1 species
UGCCUUUCGAAUCAAAAUCAGUGCAGAACAUCCAUAUUUUCACCUCGCACAGCAAGAAAUAUUUCGCUCAGGAAUUAACCAACUCAUCUGAGUUGUGCAAUUAACUGUUGUCAGGCCUUUGGGCCCUUAUCUGCAACACACACGCAGGAAACCCGUGGAAGCAGGCGCCAGGAUAACAUGCGCUGCACUGGCCAUGCGCGUGAAGCGCGGCAGCGUUGGAGAAAGCCACAGGGGGGCGGGGCAGAUGAGCGCUGGCCGAUAAGAAGGGAGGAGAGACAAGCCCGCGGGCUUUUUGGCCAGGGGGAUGGAAGGAUGGUGGUGCAACCCACCAGGUGUUUCCU